CCGUGCAUAUUACAAAAAAAAAAAAAGGAAGCCACCCUUUUGCACUCCACCACCUCCGGUCAGCCACUUCCGGCGGCAUUCCGGUGAAUUUUCCGGCCAGUAAAGGUGCUCCAAGCUUGAAACCUACACCCACACUUCAUGUACUUAAAGAAAGGAGAAAGAUUAAGGUUCAAGUGAACUUUUUGAGUCAAUUCAAGAGAAGCCUUUGUUAUCUUGAUUUGGUGGAAUUACCAAGCUCCAAGGUAAGGGUUAUUGACUCAAAUUGCUUUAAUUAAGGAUGAGUUGGGAUGAAAAAAUAAUAUUGUGAUGUGAUUUUAAUUGUUUAACCUUAGAGAAUUAAGGUAGAAUAUGAAUUUUGUGGAAAUGAGGAUAUUGUGGAGUGUGGAAUGUGGGAUUUGAAUGGUAGUGAUGUGUUUCAGGACCACCUCAUUCUAUGCAAUCAUUUCUCUAACAUAGUGAUAUUUUA